rnacentral:sRNA from 1 species
UGUAUGUAGUGUAUAGUCGAGUUUGA